rnacentral:rRNA from 1 species
AGUCACUGACAUUAGAUACCCGUGUAGUCCAGGGUGUAAACGCUGCAGACUUGGUGUUGGGAACCCUUCGGGGGUGCUCAGUGCCGGAGAGAAGUUGUUAAGUCUGCUACUUGGGGAGUACGUCCGCAAGGAUGAAACUUAAAGGAAUUGGCGGGGGAGCACCGCAACGGGAGGAGCGUGCGGUUUAAUUGGAUUCAACGACCGAAAAACUCACCAGCAGCGACUGUUACAUGAAAGUCAGGUUGAUGACCUUACUAGAUUUUCAG